GUGGGGAAUCUUGCGCAAUGGGCGAAAGCCUGACGCAGCCAUGCCGCGUGAAUGAUGAAGGUCUUAGGAUUGUAAAAUUCUUUCACCGGGGACGAUAAUGACGGUACCCGGAGAAGAAGCUCCGGCUAACUUCGUGCCAGCAGCCGCGGUAAUACGAAGGGGGCUAGCGUUGCUCGGAAUUACUGGGCGUAAAGGGCGCGUAGGCGGACAGCUUAGUCAGAGGUGAAAGCCCAGGGCUCAACCUUGGAAUUGCCUUUGAUACUGGCUGUCUUGAGUUUGGGAGAGGUGAGUGGAACUCCGAGUGUAGAGGUGAAAUUCGUAGAUAUUCGGAAGAACACCAGUGGCGAAGGCGACAUACUGGCUCAUUACUGACGCUGAGGCGCGAAAGCGUGGGGAGCAAACAGGAUUAGAUACCCGAGUAGUCC
rnacentral:rRNA from 1 species